UAUAUGUCCCGUGCAAAUAAAUCGAUUGCAUUCUAUCGUUCAUAAUGCAUUUACUAAAGAUACUGUUCGCCAUUCUCGGUGUUCAUAUUACUGGGGUUCUUUCGGACAGAGCACUGGACGAAGCAUGGCAAGAAUGGAUGCGAAUGAACGGGAAAAAGUAUCCAAGUCGCGUUAGCGAAUUUAAACAUAGGCAAACGUGGGGGCGUAAUAACUGGCGUGUUCUAUAACACAAAUCGCGAAAGGAUUCAACUUUCAGCAUGGCACUGAAUUUCCUUGCGGAUGAGGUGUAUGAACGCGCCCAAAUUGCCUCUUCCAAGUCGACGGCAGAUACCUUACGAUUCCAGCCCGCGAGCGAUAAAACAGUAUCUUUCAUUGACACACUGGUUCCCGAUUCCUGGGAUUGGAGAACUAAAGGGGCAGUGACCCCAGUACGAGAAUAUGGGCCAUUGGAUGCCUAUUCCUAUGCAGCCGGAGGAUGCGUUGAGAGCUUUAACUUUAUAAAAACCCAGGACCUGGUUACAGUGAGUGCCGCCGACAUGCACGACUGUUGCACUUACUCAGGAUUCUCUUACAAUACUCUAUUUGAUUGUGUUCAACAAAUUGGCGGCCUUUGCGCCAAUUAGGACUAUCCCUUGAUUUAUGGACACUGCUAUAACCGUUCUUGUGACGCCGUUGCAAAGGUCUCGGGAGGACAAAAGGUACCAAUAGGCGACGAGGAGACAAUAAAAUCGGCCGUGUACCUCACGCCUGUGCUAGCGGAAGUGGACGCGACAAGAUCGUCGUUCAAACUGUACCAGGAUGGCAUAUACAGCGACCCGCAGUGCCCCAACUCCUCCGUUAAUUAUCCAUUGCAGGUGGUUGGGUAUGGGUCCCUGAACGGCAUGGACUACUGGAUCUGCCGGAACAACUGGGGCGUCAACUGAGGUAUGUAGGGGUAUAUUUACAUAGCACGCAACAAAGGCAAUAUGUGUGGCAUUGCAAGCUUAACGUCAUACCCAGUUUAAUAUUUGUAUUAUUCUUGUGGACAAAGAAACAAAGUAGUGUUUACCUUUAUUGUAUGCUAUCUUUAUGUCAAUGAUAUUUACAACGUAUCCUGUGUAUGAAUUUAAAUUAUGCACAUUAUAAUGAAAUUAUGUUUAAUGUAAUGCCAUUUUUGACCCAAUAAUGUUGAACUUAUUGGUUGAAUGAUGCAUAAAUCCCAUUAUUACGUAAUACUGAACUUAUUCGGAAUUCGCAUUUUUUAAAUAAAUAAGUUUACCAUAAAGUGUAAGUUUGAUAAUUUAAUAUAAAGCUUUUUCGAAAGCAUGAGCAAAGUAAUGAAAGAUUUGAAUAUAAUUGGUCACAGCCUAUUUGCAAAUCGAAAUAUCAAGCAAGCAUAGGGGCGUGAUAAGAUUAACAGACAACAUGUUUAAAUUGAUAACGUAUUCAUGUUUACCAAUAUAUAUGUAUAUAAA